GAUGAACGCUAGCGGCAGGCUUAAUACAUGCAAGUCGUGGGGCAGCAGGACUGUAGCCAUACUGUUGCUGGCGACCGGCAAACGGGUGCGGAACACGUACGCAACUUACCCUGAACUGGGGGAUAGCCCGGGGAAACCCGGAUUAAUACCCCGUAAUAUAAUGGAGUGGCAUCACUUUAUUAUUAAAGCUCCGGCGGUUCGGGAUGGGCGUGCGGCUGAUUAGGUAGUUGGUUGAGGUAACGGCUCACCAAGCCUACGAUCAGUAACUGGUGUGAGAGCACGACCAGUCACACGGGCACUGAGACACGGGCCCGACUCCUACGGGAGGCAGCAGUAAGGAAUAUUGGGCAAUGGAGGCAACUCUGACCCAGCCAUGCCGCGUGGAGGAUGAAGGCCCUCUGGGUUGUAAACUUCUUUUAAAGGGGACGAAACCUGUGUAUUCUUACGCAGUUGACGGUACCCUAGGAAUAAGCACCGGCUAACUCCGUG
rnacentral:rRNA from 1 species